AGUGAACUCUGGCGGUAGGCCUAACACAUGCAAGUCGAACGGCAGCACAGUAAGAGCUUGCCCUUACGGGUGGCGAGUGGCGGACGGGUGAGGAAUACAUCGGAAUCUACUUUUUCGUGGGGGAUAACGUAGGGAAACUUACGCUAAUACCGCAUACGACCUACGGGUGAAAGCAGGGGAUCUUCGGACCUUGCGCGAUUGAAUGAGCCGAUGUCGGAUUAGCUAGUUGGCGGGGUAAAGGCCCACCAAGGCGACGAUCCGUAGCUGGUCUGAGAGGAUGAUCAGCCACACUGGAACUGAGACACGGUCCAGACUCCUACGGGAGGCAGCAGUGGGGAAUAUUGGACAAUGGGCGCAAGCCUGAUCCAGCCAUACCGCGUGGGUGAAGAAGGCCUUCGGGUUGUAAAGCCCUUUUGUUGGGAAAGAAAAGCAGCAGGUUAAUACCCCGCUGUUCUGACGGUACCCAAAGAAUAAGCACCGGCUAACUUCGUG
rnacentral:rRNA from 1 species